CAGCCGUGUAGUAAGUGCAAAGCGAACUAUUCUUUCGCCUUUUACUAAAGAAUACCGUGUGCUUCUCACUUUAAACGGCAUACACCUAUUUUUUUGAAGAGCCUUCCUAUUUGGAGGGCACUGAAAUUCUAGUCUCAAAAUUAUUUUCCAUUGACGUAGGAGCUUUUACUUUAAAGAAAGAUGAGCCACCAGAACCAUUGUUAUGGCUAUCCUUGUUUCGACAUUAUUUUGUUAUUUACUCAAUUAAAUU